AUUCUAUGGAGGAGAGCUACUCAGGAAAGCUGAUGAAGAGGAAAUUUGGACACAGACUGGUACAGAAGGAAGACCAUGUGAAAACACAAGAUGUCAAAGCAAGUGAG